AUUGAACGCUGGCGGCAUGCUUUACACAUGCAAGUCGAACGGUAACAGGCCGCAAGGUGCUGACGAGUGGCGAACGGGUGAGUAAUGCAUCGGAACGUGCCCAGUCGUGGGGGAUAACGCAGCGAAAGCUGCGCUAAUACCGCAUACGAUCUAUGGAUGAAAGCGGGGGACCGUAAGGCCUCGCGCGAUUCGAGCGGCCGAUGUCAGAUUAGGUAGUUGGGGGGGUAAAGGCUAACCAGGCCAACGAUCUGUAGCUGGUCUGAGAGGCCGACCAGCCACACUGGGACUGAGACACGGCCCAGACUCCUACGGGAGGCAGCAGUGGGGAAUUUUGGACAAUGGGCGCAAGCCUGAUCCAGCAAUGCCGCGUGCAGGAAGAAGGCCUUCGGGUUGUAAACUGCUUUUGUACGGAACGAAACGGUCCUGGUUAAUACCCGGGGCUAAUGACGGUACCGUAAGAAUAAGCACCGGCUAACUACGUGCCAGCCGCCGCGGUAAGAC
rnacentral:rRNA from 1 species